GCAACAAAUGUUGUGCUUCAUCAGAUGACGGGGGAUAUUUAAAGAGCUAUGCUUUGCGCAUGCGCACCGGCCUCCUGCGGGUCAUGGCUGAAGCUUUUUUAAGAGAAAGGUCACUCUUGUUUUGUGCCGGUGUCUUCUUGCUGUGCUGGUUUCUCAGGUUUGUGGUGAUCUGUGGUAUAUUGCUUGUUCAUGGGGGUGGUGGUGGGGUUUUCUGCAUGGGAUGCAUUUUGUUGAUUGCUUGUCAUUUUAUGAAUCUCUUGAAUUUGCUGGUCUCUGUCAUGCACGUUAAUAUCUGGUUCAUAAUUAUUAUUAUUUAGUAUGUUCUCGUAAAUUUGUGCUGCAUGACAUUUCUCUGCCAACAUUUCUGGUAUGCUAGGAUCGCUCUUAUUUUCACCACUUUCCACCUUCUGCUCAGUUUCUGCUGGUUGCGCCUCUCAGCUGUGGAGUCAGUGGCUUUUAUCUCCCCCUUAUGGUCUUUUUGUGCUGUUGCGUGCUGAAGCCAGUCGUGCUGCAGGGUUUGACUAGCUGUCAAACGCCUUUUCGGGUUGACCUCCAGCAAAGCCCUGACAAGAGCUUUAGCCCCUGGAAAACACAGACAUCAGCACUUAUCAUAUUUCUAGAUUACAGCAUCUAAAUGACAGAAUAUACGAAGGGUUAAACAGAAUAGUCCCAAACAGCCAAAAAUGAAAAUUCUCUCAUUUACUCCACCUUUGAAUAAAGCACACAAACUGUAAUGACUUUGUGCAAAUUGUAAUGGGGCUUUUUGAAAGAAAGUAUGUCAUACAAGUUUAAAAACAAUAUGGGAUUGAGUAAAUGAUGAUCGCCUUUAAUUGUUUUGAUUGAUCUAACACUUAAAUCACUUUAUUUGUACGGGGGUCAAAUGCUGGAGUUCAGUAUCUCACCCUCAGAUGCAUUAUCCCAGUAAGGGGACAGAAAGUGGACUUCUCCUUUCUGGAUGAGACGGAAUAGUUCCUCUUGAUUACGAUCUGGACUGCGGAAUGGAGGAAACCCACUCAGCAGGACAAACACAGGUUUUCAGGUUUGAUGUCUCGGUGUGCGAUGCUCUUGCUGUGGAUGUAUUCCAGAGCCUGACUGAUGUCUCUGAUCAUGCAUGCAGCACUUGGCUCAGUAAACCUGCCGUUCUGAGUGAUAGCAUCAAACAGGUCUCCACCGGUCACCAGCUCCAUCAGCAGGUAAACAUGGGUGUCCGUGUGAUGAGAACGAAACAGCUGGAUGAGCCGAGGAUGUUCCAGACUACGCAGCAGAGUGAUCUCAUUCUGAAUCAUGUGACCUCGUCCCUGCAGCUUUGCGUUGUCCACAAUCUUCAUAGCAAACGUUUCAGCCAGGCCUCUCACACGGCACUCCCUGACCACUGCAAAGUUCCCGUCUCCUACCACACGGCCCAUGUCAUAGCAGCGCUCAAUGUCCUCCAGCGACACUUCAGCCCCAUCAGCCAGUAUGUGACUCUGUAAGGACAUCUCGGCUCCGGCAUCAUCAUCAUGGAAACCACUAUCCGCCUUUGUGGCCUUGGGUCUCAGGAUACGCUCCCAUACUCUCAGCAGGUGUUCACAAUGGCUGGGGUUUUCUGGAUAUAACUCAUC